GAGACCGGCGCACGGGUGCGUAACGCGUAUGCAAUCUACCUUUUACAGGGGAAUAGCCCAGAGAAAUUUGGAUUAAUGCCCCAUAGUAUGUAUGAAUCGCAUGGUUUAUACAUUAAAGUUCCAACGGUAAAAGAUGAGCAUGCGUCCCAUUAGUUAGUUGGUAAGGUAGCGGCUUACCAAGACGAUGAUGGGUAGGGGUCCUGAGAGGGAGAUCCCCCACACUGGUACUGAGACACGGACCAGACUCCUACGGGAGGCAGCAGUGAGGAAUAUUGGACAAUGGGCGCAAGCCUGAUCCAGCCAUGCCGCGUGCAGGAAGAAGCAUCUAUGGUGUGUAAACUGCUUUUGUACAGGAAGAAACACUCCCUCGUGAGGGAGCUUGACGGUACUGUAAGAAUAAGGAUCGGCUAACUCCGUGCCAGCAGCCGCGGUAAUACGGAGGAUCCAAGCGUUAUCCGGAAUCAUUGGGUUUAAAGGGUCCGUAGGCGGUUUGAUAAGUCAGUGGUGAAAGCCCAUCGCUCAACGAUGGAACGGCCAUUGAUACUGUCAGACUUGAAUUACUAGGAAGUAACUAGAAUAUGUAGUGUAGCGGUGAAAUGCUUAGAUAUUACAUGGAAUACCAAUUGCGAAGGCAGGUUACUACUAGUGGAUUGACGCUGAUGGACGAAAGCGUGGGGAGCGAACAGGAUUAGAUACCCUG
rnacentral:rRNA from 1 species